rnacentral:rRNA from 1 species
CAGUCGCCGCGGUAACACGGAGGGAGCUAGCGUUGUUCGGAAUUACUGGGCGUAAAGCGCGCGUAGGCGGUUACUCAAGUCAGAGGUGAAAGCCCGGGGCUCAACCCCGGAACUGCCUUUGAAACUAGGUGACUAGAAUCUUGGAGAGGUCAGUGGAAUUCCGAGUGUAGAGGUGAAAUUCGUAGAUAUUCGCAGGAACACCAGUGGCGAAGGCGGCUAACUGGUCCAUAACUGACGCUGAGGUGCGAAAGCGUGGGGAGCAAACAGGAUUAGAUACCCGUGUAGUCCCUGUCUCUUAUAC